rnacentral:lncRNA from 1 species
AAAUUAUCAUUUGCUUCUUUAUGGACAUGGAUGAAACUAAAAAUUUUAAAAUUUUAAAAUUUCACAAAAUUGAUAGUAAAUUUAAAUAAUAUUAUUGUCUGGAAAGUAUCUUUUACCUCUUUAUUUUCAGACUUGUCUUCUAGUCCCUGUGCUUAAGCAGAAAAACUUAACAGCAAAAGAGAUUAAGGGGGAAGCAACCUUAAUCUUCAAGGCAUACUUAACUUUAAACAUGACUAAGUUAUAUCUUGAAUCUCACACCAAUUUAAUCAAAAGUUUACCAUUUCGUCCCCAGUAUAAUUACCCAAUCACUGCCAAAUUAUUUAGAUGACAUGCCUUUUAUUUAUUUAUUUUUUAUUUUUUCAGAUAGGCAAUUCAAAUGACUUGUCAGUCUUCUGCACUUCUUUUUAAUUGAAUAAUGGCAGAGAUGACAAGUUAGUAUUUAUGUAUGUCAGCCAUAGCAGCACCCACAAAAUACACACACAAGGCUGUCUGAAUUCAAAAUUAAGGCAAUAUGAAUUUCUCUUCGUUAGCCAGGCAAGCAAAAAAUGUGUUAACCAGUAGCAUAGAAAAAGGGGGUUCACCCUAUGUAGAUGGGGAGUAAACAAGAGGUACCGGAAUAUGAGUUUUCGAAUGCACUAUUUUCUUCUAUCACAUGACUUCAAAUGUAAAAUGGUUUAUUGUGCAAUACCUUGUCAUUAUUCAGUUUGGCUUUGCAUGAGGCAUGCUAAUAUUGGGUUUCUUUUGGUAUAUUCAUACAUCUGGCUCUCCCAUAUGUUUUUGUUGUAAUUCCUUAAGUAAGUUAUUUUUGUCGUCCCACUAAAGUUUCUGUAUAAGAUAUAUCUCUCCCCUUUCAUAACCUUCUUUCUCUUUUGGUAUAUUCAUACAUCUGGCUCCCAUAUGUUUCUGUUGUAAUUCCUCAAGUAAAUUAUUUUUGUCGUCCUACUAAAGUUUCUGUAUAAGAUAUAUCUCUCCCCUUUCAUAACCUUCUUUCUCUUUUGGUAUAUUCAUACAUCUGGCUCCCAUAUGUUUCUGUUGUAAUUCCUCAAGUAAAUUAUUUUUGUCGUCCUACUAAGUUUCUGUAUAAGAUAUCUCUCUCCCCUUUCGCAACC